GCUUCCCAGCACUCCAAGGGCUCUGAGCACUGAUCUGCAGAGUUCCUGGGAUCUGCUCUGGCUCUGCCACUAAAUUGGACACAGACAAUGUUAAGUAGUCCUUUUAAUCAAAUAACAGUUUUGAGAAUGAUGUUAUGCUACAUGAGAGGUCAUAUAUUAACCUUUCCUGUAGAAUAAAACAAGCCAUUAUCAUUUUUAUGUGCAGCUCUUUGCAUUUUAUGCAUUUUGUAUAACAACUGUCUAGGGUAAGGUUUUCAAAGCCAUUUAGGGGACAUGAAUUUUAUGAGUGUCGUUCUUGUCCUGAGUAACCGAUCAAGGCUGGGAGAUUCCUUUUGGGUGCUGUAGGUUUUGUGAUGUGCAGAAUGAACAGUGCUUUGGUGAUUGCCAGUGAUUUGACUUCCUUCUGUAAGCUGGGUGCAGAUGUUGGGUUCUGGAGGUUUAUUUGAAUUAUUUGAUUUUUGUCUCUGCCAGUCUUCUUACUGUUUGCUUUGUACUCGCUUGUAGUUAAUAUAAUAUUACCAUUUUUAGGUGGUCUCACUCUUCACAACCACUGGCGUAGAAAUUCAUGCCCAAGAUACCCCUGCAGCAAUAUUUGUCCAUGCUGAGCUGUUCGUUUUUUCCCCCACAUAGGACCUGGGCAAAGAGUUGCUAUGGAGCUGCUAGAGUGGCACUGCAAUAUAUGAGACUGACACACUUUCACUGUUUUAUUUUCACUUCUAAAAGAGAGACCCGAAUUUUGCUGUGAAGAACCUCUUUCUGUUUGCAAUUAGCUACCCACUGUAGCAUGAGGAGUAGUGCAAUAGCAUUGCCUUUACUCAUUCUUAAUAGUUUUGAUGGUGAAGAUGUUUAGGCAGUUACUCCCUAGAAGUGUCAUUAGUAAACUGUACCCCUCAAAAACCUUUCAGUGGAACAUGCUUGUUGUUGUGAGAUGGCAAAUCAAUGGGGCCUUCAAUAGAUGUAACUAUGCCAAAGAUGACUUUUGCUGGGAAAAAAAAAAUGAAAGGAAAAAACGUAGGUAUUUUGAAACUCAGUAACAAAAUCUAGCUCAGAAUAGGGUAAAACUAGUGCUUUACUGA
ensembl:lncRNA